AACGAACGCUGGCGGCAUGCCUAAUACAUGCAAGUCGAACGAUCACUUCGGUGGUAGUGGCGCACGGGUGCGUAACGCGUGGGAAUCUGCCCUUGGGUUCGGAAUAACGUCGGGAAACUGACGCUAAUACCGGAUGAUGACGUAAGUCCAAAGAUUUAUCGCCCAGGGAUGAGCCCGCGUAGGAUUAGCUAGUUGGUGGAGUAAAGGCCUACCAAGGCGACGAUCCGUAGCUGGUCUGAGAGGAUGAUCAGCCACACUGGGACUGAGACACGGCCCAGACUCCUACGGGAGGCAGCAGUAGGGAAUAUUGGACAAUGGGGGCAACCCUGAUCCAGCAAUGCCGCGUGAGUGAUGAAGGCCUUAGGGUUGUAAAGCUCUUUUACCCGGGAUGAUAAUGACAGUACCGGGAGAAUAAGCCCCGGCUAACUCCGUGCCAGCCGCCGCCGUAA
rnacentral:rRNA from 1 species